GUGUAGACUCUAACUGGAAUGUUCACUGUAUCCGUUUUACUUUUCAGUGAAUGCUCUUGGAACAAUCCCAGUAUUCUUUAUUUCGCUAUGUAAAUAUUUUUUUUCGGCGUCAUUAGAAGGAUAAUCAAAAGUGAAACUAAUAGCCAAGAUAUAGCAGAAGCUCGCCUGGGUGGGCUCCUGUGUCGUGAUUCGCGUAUUCUCGUUGUUUGUUUCGCAUUUCACCGUCCUGUGCUUGAAACUACGUAUCUCUUCUUUGAAGAACUUGAGGCAAAUUCAUGACGAGGUAGACACUAUGACAUUUAUGGAUGUAAGAAAAUGCUUACCAUCAACUUAUGUCAUCAUUUUUUAAUUAUUGCUUCAUGUUUCAAUUCUCGGUUCACUGAACUUUGCUAAAAAUGAAGGCAAACUUCAAAAAGGAAUAAACAAAACAGAACAGAAGCCUGCUGAAACGGAUGACUUGAUACGCGCUGGCCAGUCGAGAAUCGACGGUGCCGUUCCAGACCCAUUUCGGCGAAAAGAGAUCGAGAUCACCUACCGGCUUCCGUGCACAGCAAACAUCUGCGCCGACAUGUGUAACGUGCGCGGCUGCUUCCAGGGAGUGUGCAAGUAUCCGCCGGACCAAGUGGGAGUGCCACGCAUCUGCAUAUGCCGCGGUCACGUGGCAACGUGCGCCUGAGUGAAGUCCGCGGAGUGACGUCGGGGAUUGUAAGAUGGAAGCGAGAAGCAAAAGCAAUUGAAUGUGCCGCAACUUUCACGAGACGGUGCCAAACUAAACUACAUCUUUUCGGACUUUGUCCCGUAAAGCAAAUAAACUCAUUGUCCUCACGGGGAUCGAUCGAUCAAUAAAUUGGUGAAUGAGCAAAGAAA